UUGCCUUCCUAAAUGCUCAGGAUUAUUUUCAAGCCGUGACCUGGCUUCUGAGUUUAUAUUUGAAUGCGCAAGAAGUACUUUCAAGAGGACCGAUACCUACCCAACGUUCUUCAAUAUUUUCAGACGAAAUUUAGACCAGACAGAGGUGGAUAAACCCGGUUUCGACAAUUUUUCGCGACAUUGGCAACAACGACAUCGAUGGCGACAAAACAAGUAGUAGCCAAGUACGAAUGCCAGAAAACAUCAAACUUGUGGUUUGCAUUUAUAAUGAUGUAGCUAUUUCAACAUUGAUUUCAUCCAGAUGAUUCCACAUAGACCUCGUUUAUUUCAUCGUACAAAUCGACCACGUAAAUAGAAUCACCUAAAUAUCUCUGUUAUUUUUAUAGUUGUGAAAAUGUUUUAUGGUGGAAGCUAUAGGAUGCUAGCAAUAAUUUUCCUUUGGAGAGCUCUCGAAGAUUUCAAGGAUGCUUCUACUUCUUCUUUUUAAUUGCGUUCUAUAGUUUUUUAUUUUUAACAGAAAGCGGCCGUUUGGAAGAUUUCAACGACCCAUGACCAUAGUACAAGGUCAUUCCUUAGCAAAACUUAAGUUAGGACUUGGAGAGUCUUAGUAGUGUGAAAUAAAAGAUACAGAAGAGGCGCGGUUAAGAUAUUAAAUUUGAAGAAUUCUUUCUGAUAUUCAAUGUAUGCUUUUAAAUAAUAUUCCAAUUAUAAUAUACUAUUUUUAUUAAAAAAAUAA